GACGAUUUAACCAAUGUCGGCGUCCUUAACCGGACUUAAUUGGGAAGACGGUGCGAGUCCGUCGCGGUCCCGCCGCUGUAACCGGGGACAAAAACCGCAAUUUUGCCACUGCUGUGUACGGAACGUAGCGGGAAGGCGCGGUGAUUAGGCUGAUCCGGGAGUCAGAAGACCUGCCGAAUGCUCUGGAGCUGC
rnacentral:ncRNA from 1 species